rnacentral:rRNA from 1 species
AACGAACGCUGGCGGCAUGCCUAACACAUGCAAGUCGAACGAGACCUUCGGGUCUAGUGGCGCACGGGUGCGUAACGCGUGGGAACCUGCCCUUAGGUUCGGAAUAACUCCCCGAAAGGGGUGCUAAUACCGGAUAAUGUCUUCGGACCAAAGAUUUAUCGCCUUUGGAUGGGCCCGCGUUGGAUUAGCUAGUUGGUAGGGUAAAAGCCUACCAAGGCGACGAUCCAUAGCUGGUCUGAGAGGAUGAUCAGCCACACUGGGACUGAGACACGGCCCAGACUCGUAGGGGAGGAAGAAGGGGGGAAUAUUGGAGAGUGGGAAAAGGCUUAACCACGAAUUGCCGGGUGAUGAUGAAAGCCUUUGGGGUUUAAAAGCUUUUUACCCCGGAAGGAAAAAGAAAGACCGGGAAAAAUAAGCCCGGACAACCUCGGUG